GACAGAGGCCCCAAGCGUUUAGGCGGAAUCACUGGGCUUAAAGCGUGUGUAGGCGGAUCGUUAAGUGUCUUGUGAAAUCCCACGGCUCACCCGUGGAACUGCUGGGCAUACUGGCGAUCUUGGGCCAACUAGGGGCAGUCGGAACAAGCGGUGGAGCGGUGAAAUGCGUAGAUAUCUGGAGGAACACCGGUGGCGAAGGCGGCAUCCUGGACCAAUACUGACGCUGAGGAGCGAAAGCCAGGGAGGCAAACGGG
rnacentral:rRNA from 1 species